rnacentral:rRNA from 1 species
UGGGGAAUAUUGGACAAUGGGGGGAACCCUGAUCCAGCCAUGCCGCGUGUGUGAAGAAGGCCUUAUGGUUGUAAAGCACUUUAAGCGAGGAGGAGGGUACUGGUAUUAAUACUACCAGGUACUGGACGUUACUCGCAGAAUAAGCACCGGCUAACUCUGUGCCAGCAGCCGCGGUAAUACAGAGGGUGCGAGCGUUAAUCGGAUUUACUGGGCGUAAAGCGUGCGUAGGCGGCUGAUUAAGUCGGAUGUGAAAUCCCUGAGCUUAACUUAGGAAUUGCAUUCGAUACUGGUCAGCUAGAGUAUGGGAGAGGAUGGUAGAAUUCCAGGUGUAGCGGUGAAAUGCGUAGAUAUAGGAAGGAACACCAGUGGCGAAGGCGACCACCUGGGCUCAUACUGACACUGAGGUGCGAAAGCGUGGGGAGCAAACAGG